rnacentral:rRNA from 1 species
AUUGCAGUCUGCAACUCGACUGCAUGAAGCCGGAAUCGCUAGUAAUCGCGGAUCAGAAUGCCGCGGUGAAUACGUUCCCGGGUCUUGUANACACCGCCCGUCACACCAUGGGAGUCGGAAAUGCCCGAAGCCGGUGGCCUAACCGAUAAGGGAGGAGCCGUCGAAGGCAGGUCUGAUGACUGGGGUGAAGUCGUAACAAGGUAAC